GGAUAUCAAGGUAUGGGAAGAGUCCAGCUGCCGCGGCUGAGGCUUCACUGCAGUGUGGGAGGGCUUUAGCUCUGGUGCCAGCUUUGAGCAUCCUGGGAGUGAGAGAUCUGCACUGCUGGGAGGCCUCUGCUAGCUGGGUUACCUGGGAUGUUCCUCAGGGAGCACUGUUUUGUUUCCAAAAUCAUACACUGAGAUCAAUACCAUAUAGUCAAGUCCUGAAGCCAUUCUUGUGUUUUUGAGAACAAUUUAUUUGAUUGCAAGUGGGCAGAGGAAGGAUGAAAACAGAAAGUUGCUGUUGAAGAGAUAUCAUUGUGGAAAGCAGUUUUCUUUUCUUCCUGGUCUUUUUUCUCAUCUCCUGGGCAGCAGAUGAGUUGUAUUUACUGCAGGAAUCUUCAGUGAGGACAGAAAAUACUCUGCAGCCACAAACUGCCCAGCAUGUGCUGGGCCACACUCUGCCCUCAGCUUCCUGCUAUAAGGCUGGACUUGUUCCAUUCAAGACAACAGACUUCUUCUGCAUUUAUGUCAUUGUAGCCAGGUGAAAAAUUAGUCCCUUUAGCAAAUCUCAUAUUGCCAGAGGGAUUUUUUUACUCUCAAAGACUGUUGCUCUACUUAUGGACCAGGAGAAGAAUUAAAGGACAAUUCUCCCUUUGUCUACCAUGGAACAAGAGCUGGAGGACAGCACACAUGGGUAAUGAGAAUUUUGGGAGUUAGCAAAUACUUGCUGCACUUCUUUUCUUUUCUGCCAGGUCACCCUGUGUCCCAACACUGUUGGGGACUACAAUCUGGAGCUGGUGCUGGACGUGGAAGACGUUGGCAGGAGGGUGUUUGCACUGCCCCUCACAGCCAGGUGCAUCGUUCCUACACUGCGAGUGCUCAACCCUGUCGUGGAACUGGGGCACUGCUGCUUGAAGGUGCUCUAUGAUGAGAAGGUGACCCUGGUGAAUGACAGUGACUUCCCUGGCUGCUACUGUCUUCUCCCUCAGGUUUGGCCUUGCAUCCAUCUCCUCCCCUCAAAUGUUACUGGGGGGUUAUUAGGGGAAUAAAAGGGUUUGGGUAAGACCUUGCUGGUUUCUA
rnacentral:lncRNA from 1 species